rnacentral:lncRNA from 1 species
GACCUCCUACAACCACUAUUUAUCGAAUAGAGGAUGGUAAGAGUAAUAUAAAAAUAUUUGUUUGUUGGUUAAGAUUUUGACAACGACACCCUUUUUAAGUCAUCCUUAGGUCUACUAAAAGAAAGCCGGCAACAAAGAGAAAGGAGGCUACAUGGUGACAGGCACAGCAAUGGUUGGGAGAAGAACAUGGAAAGUUAGGAAGAAGAGAAGGAAAAGCAAAAAAUGGAAAUAAAGGAGGAUGCUAGCUUGGUGCUGGAGAAGAAGAAGGAAAAGGGAGAAAAAAGGGGAAGAAAAGGAAAAAAAAGUUAGAGAGGAGGAUAUGGUGAGGAAAGGGUGUUUUAGUGCUAGUAUGAAAAGUUAACAAGUUAUAAAAAAAGUGAAUGACUCUUUUCAUUUUAGCCCUAAAACUAUAUCUAUUCUACUAUUCUUAUCUUCCACUUCUUUAUUCUUGAUAAAAACCAAUAAUGGUAGAGCAAAUCAAUGCAAAUUUUAACAUCAAUGCCCAUAUUGACUAUAUCCUCAGAAUUAGAUAAUACAAGGUGCUACAUGAUACUUGAAAAGAAUACAAAUAGCUAGAAUCUCUUUCCAA